rnacentral:rRNA from 1 species
GAUGAACGCUGGCGGCGUGCCUAACACAUGCAAGUCGAACGGAACUUUUACUGACGGAGAUUCGUCAAAGUUGGUUUAAGUUUAGUGGCGGACGGGUGAGUAACGCGUGGAGAACCUGCCCUUUACUGGGGGAUAACAGAGGGAAGCUUCUGCUAAUACCGCAUAAGCGCACAGUACCGCAUGGUACGGUGUGAAAAACUCCGGUGGUAAAGGAUGGCUCCGCGUUGGAUUAGCUAGUUGGCGGGGUAACGGCCCACCAAGGCGACGAUCCAUAGCCGGCCUGAGAGGGUGAACGGCCACAUUGGGACUGAGACACGGCCCAGACUCC